UCAGCCUACGGGGGGCAGCAGUGAGGAAUAUUGGUCAAUGGCCGGAAGGCUGAACCAGCCAAGCCGCGUGAAGGACGAAGGUGCCAAGCAUUGUAAACUUCUUUUGUCAAGGGACAAAAUCAGGCUCGAGAGCCUGACCGAGGGUACUUGAAGAAAAAGCAUCGGCUAACUACGUGCCAGCAGCCGCGGUAAUACGUAGGGUGCAAGCGUUAUCAGGAUUUAUUGGGCGUAAAGGGCUCGUAGGCGGGUCGUCGCGUCCGGGGUGA
rnacentral:rRNA from 1 species